GAUGAACGCUGGCGGCGUGCUUAACACAUGCAAGUCGAACGAGAAGUGGAGACGGAAACCUUCGGGCGGAAGACUUUACUUCGAGUGGCGGACGGGUGAGUAACGCGUGGGUAACCUGCCUCAUACAGGGGGAUAACAGUUGGAAACGACUGUUAAUACCGCAUAGACCACAGCACCGCAUUGGGCCGGGGUAAAAAAUCCGGUGGUAUGAGAUGGAACCGCGUUCGAUUAGCCAGUUGGCGGGGUAACGGCCCACCAAAGCGACGAUCGAUAGCCGAUCUGAGAGGAUGACCGGCCACAUUGGGACUGAGACACGGCCCAAACUCCUACGGGAGGCAGCAGUGGGGAAUAUUGCACAAUGGGGGAAACCCUGAUGCAGCGACGCCGCGUGAGUGAAGAAGUAUUUCGGUAUGUAAAGCUCUAUCAGCAGGGAAGAAAAUGACAGUACCUGAGUAAGAAGCCCCGGCUAACUACGUG
rnacentral:rRNA from 1 species